rnacentral:lncRNA from 1 species
UUUUAUACACAUAAUCACAUAGAUAUACAAAUUUAAUUAGUAUUGCACAAUGAUAGAUCCACAUUACAUAAACCAUCAACAAGCACCACAACAAAAUCAUUCACAAAACCUACACAUGUUAUUAUGUUUUGCACAUAUUUGCAAACACUUAACAAAAUCAUUCACAAAAGUACCAACACUUCAAGUGAUUCGCAAAAGCCUUCACAAAAGCACUCCAACUUCUUGUAUCCUCUUGUUUUAAGGCACAAGCUUGUAGGGGUUGUGAUGUCGCCAUUUACUUGAUGCUAACAAGACAUUUCCUUCACCAAAGCCAUCUUC